AUCCAGCUGAUGAGUCCUAAAUAGGACGAAAUGCGCGUUCUGGAU
rnacentral:hammerhead_ribozyme from 1 species